AAAUCCUACGGGAGGCAGCAGUGGGGGAUAUUGCGCAAUGGGCGAAAGGCUGAACCAGCCAAGUAGCGUGAGGGAAGACUGCCCUAUGGGUUGUAAACCUCUUUUAUGCGGGGAUAAAGGUGUCCACGUGUGGAUGUUUGCAGGUACCGCAUGAAUAAGGACCGGCUAAUUCCGUGCCAGCAGCCGCGGUAAUACGGAAGGUCCGGGCGUUAUCCGGAUUUAUUGGGUUUAAAGGGAGCGUAGGCCGGUCUUUAAGCGUGCCGUGAAAUUUUGUGGCUCAACCAUGAGAGUGCGGCGCGAACUGG
rnacentral:rRNA from 1 species